ACUGGGAGCGUGGCGUCUCCUGUAAUCCGGCUACUCGGAGGUCAGCUAUGGAGGAGGAUCUGAGGUCGGGGUUCACUGUUGGUGCGAGCCUCACGUUGACUGGGCGUCCGCACUAAGCCCGCCAUCAAUAUGGGCACCCCGGAGGAGUCCAGGGUGACCAGGUUGGCUAAGGAGAGGCGAACCGGGCCAGAGGGGAAACCCAGCAGCCAAAAGUCUCCGUGGUGGGCAGUAGUGGGAUCGCGCCCGGGAGUGAGAUCGCAUUGACAGCCUGGUCGAUACGAUUCGACCCAUAGCUUU
rnacentral:SRP_RNA from 1 species